GGUGAAUUGCUUGUAUUUUUGUCCAUAACUAAAUUUUGGACUUUGAAUUAUUAUUUGAUCUAUCAUAAUAUGUUUGGGAACAUAUAUAAGUGAAUAAAUAAGAAGGAAGAUUUUGGGCCCUUGUGGGUGUAAAACAAAAAAUGUUUAGGUUUUGUGAACAAAAUUUGUUUAUUUGGAGCAAGGUUUUGUGUUGAAGCUUUGUAGGUGAAGCUUUGGGGUUGAAGCUUUCUAGGUGAAGCUUUGAUGGUGAAGCUUUGUAGAUGAAGCUUUGUAGAUGAAGCUUGCUAGGUGAAGCUUUGAUGGUGAAGCUUUGAUGGUGAAAGUAUGUAGAUGAAGCUUUGUAGAUGAAGCUUGCUAGGUGAAGCUUUGAUGGUGAAAGUAUGUAGAUGAAGCUUUCUAGGUGAAGCUUUUUUAGGUGAAGCUUUGUAGGUGAAGCUUUUUUAAGUGAAGCUUUGGGCCCUUGUGAAGCUUUGGAGGUGAAGCUUUUCGGGUGAAGCUUUUUUGGGUGAAGCUUUGUGGGUGAAGCUUUUUAGGGGAAGCUUUGUGGGUGAAGCUUUGGAGGUGAAGCUUUUCGGGUGAAGCUUUUUUUGGGUGAAGCUUUGUGGGUGAAGCUUUGUGGGUGAAGCUUUGGAGGUGAAGCUUUUCGGGUGAAGCUUUUUUGGGUG
rnacentral:lncRNA from 1 species